rnacentral:rRNA from 1 species
UACGGGGGGAGCAAGCGUUGUUCGGAUUUACUGGGCGUAAAGGGCGCGUAGGCGGCCACCGCAAGUCGACUGUGAAAUCUCCGGGCUUAACCCGGAAAGGUCAGCCGAUACUGCGGGGCUAGAGUGCAGAAGGGGCAACUGGAAUUCUCGGUGUAGCGGUGAAAUGCGUAGAUAUCGAGAGGAACACCUGCGGCGAAGGCGGGUUGCUGGGCUGACACUGACGCUGAUGCGCGAAAGCUAGGGGAACGAACGGG